AUUGAACGCUGGUGGCAGGCUUAACACAUGCAAGUCGAGCGGGGAGAUGUAGCUUGCUACAUUUCCUAGCGGCGGACGGGUGAGUAAUGCUUAGGAAUCUGCCUAUUAGUGGGGGACAACGUUUCGAAAGGAACGCUAAUACCGCAUACGCCCUACGGGGGAAAGCAGGGGAUCUUCGGACCUUGCGCUAAUAGAUGAGCCUAAGUCAGAUUAGCUAGUUGGGGGGGUAAAGGCCUACCAAGGCGACGAUCUGUAGCGGGUCUGAGAGGAUGAUCCGCCACACUGGGACUGAGACACGGCCCAGACUCCUACGGGAGGCAGCAGUGGGGAAUAUUGGACAAUGGGGGGAACCCUGAUCCAGCCAUGCCGCGUGUGUGAAGAAGGCCUUUUGGUUGUAAAGCACUUUAAGCGAGGAGGAGGCUACUAGUACUAAUACUACUGGAUAGUGGACGUUACUCGCAGAAUAAGCACCGGCCAACUCUGUGCCAGCAGCCGCAGUAACAC
rnacentral:rRNA from 1 species